rnacentral:rRNA from 1 species
CGAAGGGGGGACGGAGAAGGCUAUGUUGGCCGGGCGACGGUUGUCCCGGUUUAAGCGUGUAGGCUGGUUUUCCAGGCAAAUCCGGAAAAUCAAGGCUGAGGCGUGAUGACGAGGCACUACGGUGCUGAAGCAACAAAUGCCCUGCUUCCAGGAAAAGCCUCUAAGCAUCAGGUAACAUCAAAUCGUACCCCAAACCGACACAGGUGGUCAGGUAGAGAAUACCAAGGCGCUUGAGAGAACUCGGGUGAAGGAACUAGGCAAAAUGGUGCCGUAACUUCGGGAGAAGGCACGCUGAUAUGUAGGUGAAGUCCCUUGCGGAUGGAGCUGAAAUCAGUCGAAGAUACCAGCUGGCUGCAACUGUUUAUUAAAAACACAGCACUGUGCAAACACGAAAGUGGACGUAUACGGUGUGACGCCUGCCCGGUGCCGGAAGGUUAAUUGAUGGGGUCAGCGCAAGCGAAGCUCUUGAUCGAAGCCCCGGUAAACGGCGGCCGUAACUAUAACGGUCCUAAGGUAGCGAAAUUCCUUGUCGGGUAAGUUCCGACCUGCACGAAUGGCGUAAUGAUGGCCAGGCUGUCUCCACCCGAGACUCAGUGAAAUUGAACUCGCUGUGAAGAUGCAGUGUACCCGCGGCAAGACGGAAAGACCCCGUGAACCUUUACUAUAGCUUGACACUGAACAUUGAGCCUUGAUGUGUAGGAUAGGUGGGAGGCUUUGAAGUGUGGACGCCAGUCUGCAUGGAGCCGGCCUUGAAAUACCACCCUUUAAUGUUUGAUGUUCUAACGUGGACCCGUGAUCCGGGUUGCGGACAGUGUCUGGUGGGUAGUUUGACUGGGGCGGUCUCCUCCUAAAGAGUAACGGAGGAGCACGAAGGUUGGCUAAUCCUGGUCGGACAUCAGGAGGUUAGUGCAAUGGCAUAAGCCAGCUUGACUGCGAGCGUGACGGCGCGAGCAGGUGCGAAAGCAGGUCAUAGUGAUCCGGUGGUUCUGAAUGGAAGGGCCAUCGCUCAACGGAUAAAAGGUACUCCGGGGAUAACAGGCUGAUACCGCCCAAGAGUUCAUAUCGACGGCGGUGUUUGGCACCUCGAUGUCGGCUCAUCACAUCCUGGGGCUGAAGUAGGUCCCAAGGGUAUGGCUGUUCGCCAUUUAAAGUGGUACGCGAGCUGGGUUUAGAACGUCGUGAGACAGUUCGGUCCCUAUCUGCCGUGGGCGCUGGAGAACUGAGGGGGGCUGCUCCUAGUACGAGAGGACCGGAGUGGACGCAUCACUGGUGUUCGGGUUGUCAUGCCAAUGGCACUGCCCGGUAGCUAAAUGCGGAAGAGAUAAGUGCUGAAAGCAUCUAAGCACGAAACUUGCCCCGAGAUGAGUUCUCCCUGACCCUUUAAGGGUCCUGAAGGAACGUUGAAGACGACGACGUUGAUAGGCCGGGUGUGUAAGCGCAGCGAUGCGUUGAGCUAACCGGUACUAAUGAACCGUGAG